rnacentral:lncRNA from 1 species
ACCGCUGACUGAAGCAUAUAUCUCACCGUGAAAGUCUGGAUUUUACUCCACCCUGAGCCACCUGUGAUCAUACCAAUAAGAUUUCCCCAACUCGCACGGUACUGGUCCUUUAAAACACCUUUCAUUAGUGCUUCCCACACCUGAGCCGAGUAGGUACAUUAAAAAAACAAGUGACUCAGAGACUCCAUAGACUACUGACUGAAUUUACAAGUUGUAUCAACAACCGCAUUCCAACAUUUCAUUUGAUCUCCUGUUGAAAGUCUCCCACGAAUAGUGAUUCAGGUCAUGAAUGAGAAUUUUGGAGUAGCAUGUUUAAACCAUACCGCUUGAUGCCAAGAACAGAGUUGAUGCUUCUCUUUAAUGCUGAGCCAAGUUUCUCGUGUUGAGACACCUUCUUGUAUUUUCCUUUCUCAUUCUUCCAUAAUGAGAUAUCCUCCCCUUGACUCCAAUUCUCUUUGUAAUUUUCAAUUUCAAUUUCAACUCUGUUUAAGAUUUGCACACAAUAAUUUCUUCUUCUAUGACUUCUACUAUCCUCCACAGUAGCAUUGGUUGGAAUUCCCAUAUCUAUAUAUCCCCCUUCUCGCAAGAUAUCCUGUAAACAAUCCAUUGAAGACCAUUUUUCGUUCUAGAAUGACUCUUUUCUACCAUUGCGAACCUCCACUUUGUAAAAUUGCUUAGCUAUUUCCCGACACUUAAGAAUCUUUCUCUACAUCCAUGAACCAUCUUGAGAAUUCUCCUUAACCGUCCAUAUAGAGCCUUUUCUGAUAAGAUAAAUCUUGAUCCAACUAAUCCAUAGAGACUGAGCUGAAAGAAUCCUCCAUAUAAGCUUGAGACAGCAUACCAAAUUCAUUCUUUUAGCGGCCUCAAACCCAAUCCACCUUCUUGUUUUGUUUUACAAAUGUCUACCCAAAAUACAUUUGCUUACCUUCCAUUCAAACCCGGAUCCGACCACAGAAAAGCUGAGCAUAUUCUUUCUAUUUCUUUGAUACAGCCACUUGGGAACCGGAAAGCAGACAUCCAAAAAAGUUGUUAAACUUCUUAUGAUAGAGUUUAUUAACUGCAAACAUCCAGGAUAUGAAAGGAAUCUCCCCGUCUAGGAGCUGAUCCUCUUUAUAAUCUUUUCAACCAGAGGAAGAAAGUCUGUAACAGUCAUAUUCUUUGUUAGGAAUGGGAGUCCCAAGUAUCGUACCAGAAGCUUUCCUGUUGUAAACCCAUGUCUAGCAAUCUCUUCUUCUCUUACUAUUCUAGCCAUAAACAAGGUUGACUUCUCCAUAC